GCACCAGUGGUUUAGUAGUUAAAUAGUACCUUGCCACGGUAUAUACCUGGGUUCGAUUCCCGGCUGUUGUA
rfam:Ipomoea nil DNA, scaffold: scaffold3100, cultivar: Tokyo-kokei standard.